rnacentral:rRNA from 1 species
AUUGAACGCUGGCGGCAGGCCUAACACAUGCAAGUCGAGCGGAUGAGUGGAGCUUGCUCCAUGAUUCAGCGGCGGACGGGUGAGUAAUGCCUAGGAAUCUGCCUGGUAGUGGGGGACAACGUUUCGAAAGGAACGCUAAUACCGCAUACGUCCUACGGGAGAAAGUGGGGGAUCUUCGGACCUUACGCUAUCAGAUGAGCCUAGGUCGGAUUAGCUAGUUGGUGAGGUAAAGGCUCACCAAGGCGACGAUCCGUAACUGGUCUGAGAGGAUGAUCAGUCACACUGGAACUGAGACACGGUCCAGACUCCUACGGGAGGCAGCAGUGGGGAAUAUUGGACAAUGGGCGAAAGCCUGAUCCAGCCAUGCCGCGUGUGUGAAGAAGGUCUUCGGAUUGUAAAGCACUUUAAGUUGGGAGGAAGGGCAGUAAGUUAAUACCUUGCUGUUUUGACGUUACCAACAGAAUAAGCACCGGCUAACUUCGUGCCAGCAGCCGCUGUAACAC